rnacentral:rRNA from 1 species
CAAUAGCGUAUAUUUAAGUUGUUGCAGUUAAAAAGCUCGUAGUCGGAUUUUGGCUGAGAACGAACGGUCCGCCGUUAGGUGUGCACUGUUUGGUCUCAGCUUCCUGGUGAGGAGGUGUGCUUCACGGCCACUUAGUCACCGUGGUUACUUUGAAAAAAUUAGAGUGUUCAAAGCGGGCUUACGCUUGAAUAUAUUAGCAUGGAAUAACACCAUAGGACUCCUGUCCUAUUUCGUUGGUCUCGGGACGGGAGUAAUGAUUAAGAGGAACAGUUGGGGGCAUUUGUAUUUCAUCGUCAGAGGUGAAAUUCUUGGAUUUAUGAAAGACGAACUUCUGCGAAAGCAUUUGCCAAGGAUGUUUUCAUUGA